UGGGGAAUUUUGGACAAUGGGCGCAAGCCUGAUCCAGCCAUGCCGCGUGUCUGAAGAAGGCCUUCGGGUUGUAAAGGACUUUUGUCAGGGAAGAAAAGGCUGUUGCUAAUAUCGACAGCUGAUGACGGUACCUGAAGAAUAAGCACCGGCUAACUACGUGCCAGCAGCCGCGGUAAUACGUAGGGUGCGAGCGUUAAUCGGAAUUACUGGGCGUAAAGCGAGCGCAGACGGUUACUUAAGCAGGAUGUGAAAUCCCCGGGCUCAACCUGGGAACUGCGUUCUGAACUGGGUGACUAGAGUGUGUCAGAGGGAGGUAGAAUUCCACGUGUAGCAGUGAAAUGCGUAGAGAUGUGGAGGAAUACCGAUGGCGAAGGCAGCCUCCUGGGAUAACACUGACGUUCAUGCUCGAAAGCGUGGGUAGCAAACAGGAUUAGAUACCCUGGUAGUCCACGCCCUAAACGAUGUCAAUUAGCUGUUGGGCAACUUGAUUGCUUAGUAGCGUAGCUNACGUGUGAAAUUGACCGCCUGGGGAGUACGGUCGCAAGAUUA
rnacentral:rRNA from 1 species